rnacentral:rRNA from 1 species
UACGAAGGGGGCUAGCGUUGCUCGGAAUCACUGGGCGUAAAGCGCACGUAGGCGGAUUGUUAAGUCAGGGGUGAAAUCCUGGAGCUCGACUCCAGAACUGCCUUUGAUACUGGCGAUCUCGAGUCCGGGAGAGGUGAGUGGAACUGCGAGUGUAGAGGUGAAAUUCGUAGAUAUUCGCAAGAACACCAGUGGCGAAGGCGGCUCACUGGCCCGGUACUGACGCUGAGGUGCGAAAGCGUGGGGAGCAAACAGG